rnacentral:rRNA from 1 species
UACGUAGGGGGCAAGCGUUGUCCGGAUUUACUGGGCGUAAAGGGCGUGCAGGCGGUCUGUUAAGUGCAGGGUGAAAGCUCCCGGCUCAACUGGGAGAGGUCCUUGCAUACUGGCGGACUUGAGGGGGGUAGAGGAAAGUGGAAUUCCCGGUGUAGUGGUGAUAUGCGUAGAUAUCGGGAGGAACACCUGUGGCGAAGGCGGCUUUCUGGGCCCUACCUGACGCUGAGACGCGAAAGCGUGGGGAGCGAACCGG